rnacentral:rRNA from 1 species
GGAGGAUCCAAGCGUUAUCCGGAAUCAUCGGGUUUAAAGGGUCCGUAGGCGGCUUAGUAAGUCAGUGGUGAAAGCCCAUCGCUCAACGGUGGAACGGCCAUUGAUACUGCUAAACUUGAAUUAUUAGGAAGUAACUAGAAUAUGUAGUGUAGCGGUGAAAUGCUUAGAGAUUACAUGGAAUACCAAUUGUGAAGGCAGGUUACUACUAAUUGAUUGACGCUGAUGGACGAAAGCGUGGGUAGCGAACAGGAUUAGAUACCCUGGUAGUCCACGCCGUAAACGAUGGAUACUAGCUGUUGGGAGCAAUCUCAGUGGCUAAGCGAAAGUGAUAAGUAUCCCACCUGGGGAGUACGAACGCAAGUUUG